GGGGGAUAUUGCGCAAUGGGGGGAACCCUGACGCAGCGACGCCGCGUGAAGGAAGAAGGUUUUCGGAUCGUAAACUUCUUUGAUUGGCGAAGAAAGAAAUGACGGUAGCCAAAGAACAAGCCACGGCUAACUACGUGCCAGCAGCCGCGGUAACACGUAGGUGGCGAGCGUUGUCCGGAAUUACUGGGUGUAAAGGGCGUGUAGGCGGGAGAGCAAGUCAGAUGUGAAAGUCCACAGCUCAACUGUGGGAUUGCAUCUGAAACUGUUUUUCUUGAGUACUGGAGAGGAAAGCGGAAUUCCACGUGUAGCGGUGAAAUGCGUAGAGAUGUGGAGGAACACCAGUGGCGAAGGCGGCUUUCUGGACAGUAACUGACGCUGAGGCGCGAAAGCGUGGGUAGCGAAC
rnacentral:rRNA from 1 species